UGGUAAUGUUAGCAAGCAGAAGUUUCAGUGGAAUGUUGGCGGUAGAAACCAAAUUGAACUGGGCUAAGGAGUGAAAGAAAAACAACUGCAACUACUGAGAGACCAAGGACUCACUUCCAGAACAGAAACAUGAGGACAAGAAGAUUUUACUUAUGGUAACUUGGGCAAUUGAAGAAUAGUGAGAUUGCCCUGAAGGAGGAAAAGUGGGAUGAACAUUUCUGAAUGAAGUCUUCUGAAGAAAGGUGUGUCAUGAUCAGAGGGUGAUCGAUGAUGAAAACUCUCUCAGGUUUCCUGGCCUCCUCAUUCUGCCUACUUGUUUGUUCAGUAUCUAUUCCAUGAUGGAUGCUUUCUGACUUCAUUUUCAAGAUUUUCCUCAACAUCAAAAGAAGAUUACAGAUGACAUCUCUAAGUGUUACAUUUACCUUUCAAAAAGACAGAAGGAGAAAGAGUAAACAAGCAAAAUGCCGAAUAUGUUACCUUUGAAGACAACUGGAAGCAGUGUCUUUUAUCCGGUUAGAUGUAGCAUCACAUUAGAAGAAAAAGUGAGGAAAAUCUUGACGAUUUUUUCCUAGAGAAAAAGAGAUGUAAAGGAAGGUAUGGUGAAUUCAUAAUAAAGAUAUGAUUUAUUUAGCUCUUUUAUUAUUAUGGGGUUUUUUUUAAGGAUUGCCUACAAAGAAUUCAAGUAACCAGAGUUCCAAUGGCAAAAUUUAUAUGAGGUAUAUGAAAUCCUGUAGAAGAAGAAAUGUUGCCAAAGUUUUAACCUAAGGCUAUGGGCAUAAAGUCCAGAACAAGAGGGUGGGUUAGUAUUCUUCUAUUUAGCGAGAAUAACAAAAUAAGAAGAAGUUGAUGCGUGUAAAUAGUUGGCAGACUUUUGGAGAGCUAGCAGAGAAAAAAAAUCUGAUUUAGUAGAGUCCCUUGUCACUAAACUUCAUGGAAGUAGGGAGCAAAAUAAACCCAGAAUAAAUAAACAAGUAAAUAUUACAGCCAAGACUGAAACAAAGAAAGACAUUUCUGUUCACUGGAAACGGAUAGUAAGCCAUCAGAGGCUGCCAAGGCUGUCUCCUUCCCAGGAGGUUUGGAAGCAGCUAUACUCCCGGAAGCAAGGUAAGAGGCUUGUACUAAAAGCUUGGAACCUCUAGAUGCUCCCAAUCCUCAUGGAUUAGAAAAACUCUGUUUUGAGGCCAGUUACUUAGAGACUUUGUCAUUCGUCUGAUGCUUAGGUGGGGAAAAAAGCCAUCCAUCAGUAAAAGGAUCCUAGACUUACACCGAGCAUGAGUAUGGCCAAGGCCGAAUACGUGACUUGCUGGACUCAGUACAAAAUAAAAGCACAGGCUUUCUCGCUUAAAAACGAAGGAAGAAAAGCACUAUCAAAGUUAAUAAAAUAUAAAACUUUAACUUUAUUUCAUCUUGUCUAUCUUGACUUGUCAUGGUGUAUUUUAUUUGCUAUUUAAUGUCUUUCUAGGUUAAAAAAAAUACUAAAACCUUAAAUUGCUAACAGAAAUUUUACACUUCAUAUUUAUAGGGCGCAUUAACAAUUUUACUUGCAAAUAUUAGUGUUUACUUAGUAUGAGGAAUCACAGAAUCAAAUAAUUCGUAUUUCAUAACUCAUAUAUGCAUGUGUAUUUUAUUCCACCAGAACGUGCAAGCAUUGCACAAAGCUCAGCUGUUUCUCCUUUACCUCCUGAUGCACAUACCUUCUACCAAGACAUCUAUCCAAGGAUAUUGACAACUAUAAGCACUGAAAGGAAAAGGAACUAUGACAUGCCCUAUAUUUUCUUUUCCUUCUAUGUUGUCAUUUUCAGUGUAAGUGGUUGGCUUAAACAGGAAAUGAACACAGUAAGGAAGGAUAUGAUAAAGUAACUUGGUCAUUAGUGUUUCUUAGAAUUCCAUUGUGUUUUUUCUAUUUGAUUUAAGUUCUGGUUUGAACAGAAUGGAUGGCCUCUUUGGGCUGUCAGUGCUUGUGCUUAAUCAGAUGUUGAUGUAACAUGCCUCCCUUGCCUUGAUUUUUGUUGAACUCCUACUCAUUGUGAGUGCACAGGAAUUCUGUGCUCUGGGGGCAUCAUCAGCACUAUCUGUGAACAGGACAUUAAGGAAAGAUGGAUACCUAUUUUGCAUGUGUCUCCUCUGCACCAUUGUCCCAUUAGACUUCCCUUACAAGACGCAACUUCAAAGACAAAGAUUAUCAAGGGUUUCAAGCAGGCAACAACAAAAUAUUAAGCUAAGCACAGGGCCCUUCUUGAGUAUGGAGGCUUGUGAGACUAAAUAGAUCUCAUAACAAUGCAUUACAAAUUUUAGUACUGACAUGAUUAUAAAAAAUAAAGGUGAACAUGGGCACCGAAAUUAAGAAACAGUACUCACGUUGAGACUAUUCACAAGUUUCUAUUAAUAGCCUUUUUUUAAAUUAUAGAAAUAUAAGAGAAAAUCAUAAAGAAGAAAAUUUUAAACCCAAAGCAUCCAGUGUGGUAGGCAGAACUCUAGGAUGAUCCCCAUGACUCUUGUCUGGAUACAAUAUCUUCCCCUUUGAGUGGGGGGUGAAACUUGUGAAUAUGAUGGGGAUGUCACUCCCAGGACUACACGGCAUUAUGUGGCAAAAGGGAGAUUAUCCUGGGUGGGCCUGACUUAAUCAGGUGAGUCCUUUAAAAGUAGAGAGUUUUCACUGGCUGGUUGAGGAAGAGAAAGUCUGAAGGUCAUGCUCCAGCUGACCUGGAUGAAAGCAAACACCCAGGCUGUAAAUGGCCUGUUGGGGUCAUGUGGCAAGGAACUGCGGGCAGCCUUCUGGAGCUGGCAGGAAAACAAGGACUUCAGUCAUACGACCACAAGGAAAUGAAUUCUGCCAACAACCUGUGAGCUUGGAAAAGGACUCUGAGUCCUGAUGAAAACCGCAACUCUGGCUGACACCUGGCUUUCGGUCUGGAGCCUGAGCAGAGAAUCCAUCGAAGCUAUGCCUGAACUUCUGACCUACAGAAACUGUGAAAUAAUAAAUGUGUGUUGCUUUAAGCCGCUAAAUUUGUGGCAAUUUGUUAUGCAGUAAUAGAAAACUACUAUAUCCAGGAAUAACAUUUUGGCUUAUAUCUUUAUAGUCAUGUCUUUUAUAGCUUUCUCCCUACGUACAUAUGUACUUUUUUGUGUGUAACGGAAUUAUAAUAUUCUUUAAUCCUUUUUUAUUUACUGUACUGGAGAACAUUUUUUACCCCAUUAAACAAUUUUACCACACCUUUAAAAUAUAAAAAAUAGACAGAUCUCAUUCUCAUGAGGCUGGCUCUGAGUACAGAAUCAAAAUAUAUACUACCUGCAGGAUAUCAGAAAUAACAACAAACGAAUAAACCUAAAACGUAUCGCAGAAUUAUUGAAAUCACUGGAGAAAGCAAACUUGAAACUUCUAGAGUGAGUGAGUAUUAAUGGAAAAUAACCAAAUUCCUUUAUUUUUAGUAGACACAAGCAUUGUUUAAACAGCAAUAAUCAGAAAAGAUCCAAAACCAAUUGGGACAGUGUAUAACGAGCUUCUAUUUGUAAAAGAAACUAUGAUAUGGAAGUAGAACAUAAUGUAGAAAUGCGUAACUCAUAAGUACAUCCCGCUGAAUGCUUACAAAGUGAGCACACUUGGGUACCAAACAGGUCUGUAUAGAAACCACUAGAGCAACCUAGAAGCUCUUUCAUGCCCAUCUACACAUUAUUGUACCCUCUGUCCAAAAGGUAACCCUUAUCAUGAUUUCUAAAACCAUAGAAUUUGCUUUUUGAUAUUUGUAUUAAAGGC
rnacentral:lncRNA from 1 species